rnacentral:lncRNA from 1 species
UUUUUUUUUUAAACAACUUAAUUAAGCACUUAUAGCAUAAAUAAGUGCUUAUUUAUAAACAAUAAUAAAACAAGUCAAUUUGCCCCAAACCACUACAUAAAUCAAAUCAUCAAAACGUAUUAAUCAUUAAGAAACUCCAAUUCAAAAAUUUUCUAAGCAAUGACAAAAUGGUUGAGUAGAGUUGGUGUUGACCGCUCUUACGCGGUGGAGUUGUUCAAAACUAGUAAUGGCUGUGAAGUUUUGAAAAGUCGGUAGUGACAUCUCUGCAAAACUCCAAAAAGAGAAAAGUUAGAAUAGAACAAAUUAUUUACACUCAAGAUAGUAUAUAGUCUAAAAAAUGUCCUCUGCUGAGCCUGCACUCAAGAUACAUGUAAACUAUCAAAUUGAAGAACAUAUAAUUUACACUGUAUAUAAAUUAUCAGCCCCAUGAACAUAAACAUAAGAAUACCUUGGAUAUGACAUCCAAAUUCAUCAUUACCGAAACAAAAAUAGUAGUUAAUUAAUGCCAGCAUGAAAACUAAGAAUAGAACAAAUUAUAUAAAUGGAGUGCAAUGAAUUAGAAACCAAAGAUGUUACAUGUAAGCAUAUGAAUAUUUCAAACCAAAAGAAGAUA